GCAAGUUGCCGUAUGGUCAGCAACACGAUCGAAUUGACGGGGACCUCCUAAAGCCUGCAACACCAACCGUCCGGGGAAACUCGGGCGGGGCCCUCACGGGGUGGUAAGAGAGUGCAGGAUGAACAAUGGACGAUCCGCAGCGAAGACCCUACCGGCGAGAGCCCACGGGUACCGUUCACAGACUA
rnacentral:rRNA from 1 species